rnacentral:rRNA from 1 species
AGCAGAGAUGCUUUGGUGCCUUCGGGAACUCUGAGACAGGUGCUGCAUGGCUGUCGUCAGCUCGUGUUGUGAAAUGUUGGGUUAAGUCCCGCAACGAGCGCAACCCUUAUCCUUUGUUGCCAGCGGUUAGGCCGGGAACUCAAAGGAGACUGCCAGUGAUAAACUGGAGGAAGGUGGGGAUGACGUCAAGUCAUCAUGGCCCUUACGAGUAGGGCUACACACGUGCUACAAUGGCGCAUACAAAGAGAAGCGACCUCGCGAGAGCAAGCGGACCUCAUAAAGUGCGUCGUAGUCCGGAUUGGAGUCUGCAACUCGACUCCAUGAAGUCGGAAUCGCUAGUAAUCGUGGAUCAGAAUGCCACGGUGAAUACGUUCCCGGGCCUUGUACACACCGCCCGUCACACCAUGGGAGUGGGUUGCAAAAGAAGUAGGUAGCUUAACCUUCGGGAGGGCGCU